UAGGAUAUUGUCCCCAAGCGGAUGCACUAGAUGAUUUACUAACUCCAGAACAGCAUCUUUUUGUUUAUGCCAAAUUGAGGGGUAUUCCGAGCCAGGAAAUAAAAGAAAUAAUUUAUCGUGCCUUAUCGAAAUUUCAUUUAAAAAUGUAUGCCGAUCGCAGGGUGGGUACUCUAAGUAGAGGAACCAAAA